AGUGAUAGCAAGUUCUUGUUUCUCGAGUAUGUCUAUUUUAUCAUUCAUGAAUGUAUUUAUGAAAGUGACAACAUGUUCUUUCCUUUUUACAGAUUGUUUUUUUUGAUAACUUGGUGAAUCAUCUUCAAGUUGCCACAUUCUGAUGUUAUGUCAUAAAUUUGCUCCUAUAUCUCUGGAGAUGUCAGUAUAAGUCACACUGUAUCGUUGUAAAAUCCAAUACCUUAAGUGAGAAUAGAAUGGAAAUCAAGACCCCGAAGCUUCUUUCGUUCCAGAUGAUGCGAUCAUUCAGUAAAUCCAGCAAUGGGGAGAUUGUAUUCAUUGUGAACUUAACUUCAGGUGUGGUGCUACGAUUUCACGAGAAAGUCUUCCAAUUAGAGUAUAUACAAAUAGUUACAGAGGAUGAUUUUGAGUUCUUGUUUAUGGGACUUGUUAAUUUUCAAAAGAAUCAGCAGCAGGAAAUCUAGCUCACAGGGAAACUCCACCAUGGGCAGACGUCUAACCCAAUAUCUCGAAAAUCGAGGAAUUACUUCCCCAUAAUCUCCAAUGUCUGGAUGAUACUCUUAAUCUGUCAAGAACGACUUGACGACUACAAGAAGCGUCUGACUGCAGUUCCUCAGCCCGCAAGCCGAAAGUUUGACUUGGAACCGAAGAUAUUUAUCAAAGUAGAUCAACCAGUUAUAUUCCUUUUGCGAGGAAAAAAAUAUACUUACAACAGUUACGACAUAAAAUUACAUGAGAAUAUGUAUUAAUUAACAAUAAUUUAGUGAUAAAAAUGUUAACGAAGGUUAAGAUAUGUGACGUAUAUUUAUUGAA